UACGGAGGAUGCGAGCGUUAUCCGGAUUUAUUGGGUUUAAAGGGUGCGUAGGCGGCCGAGUAAGUCAGCGGUGAAAUUUUGCAGCUUAACUGUAACAGUGCCGUUGAUACUGCAUGGCUAGGAUUUGGUUGCUGUGGGUGGAAUGUGUGGUGUAGCGGUGAAAUGCUUAGAUAUUACACAGAACACCGAUUGCGAAGGCAGCUUACUAAUCCAUGAUUGACGCUGAGGCACGAAAGCGUGGGGAUCAAACAGGAUUA
rnacentral:rRNA from 1 species